GACGUAGGGCGCGAGCGUUGUCCGGAUUUACUGGGCGUAAAGAGCGCGCAGGCGGUCGUUCAAGUCGAGUGUGAAAGCCCCCGGCUCAACUGGGGAGGGUCAUUCGAUACUGAUCGACUCGAAGGCAGGAGAGGGAAGUGGAAUUCCCGGUGUAGUGGUGAAAUGCGUAGAUAUCUGGAGGAACACCGGUGGCGAAGGCGGCAUCCUGGACCGGCAUUGACGCUGAGGCGCGAAAGCCAGGGGAGCAAACGGG
rnacentral:rRNA from 1 species